rnacentral:rRNA from 1 species
UACGUAGGGUGCAAGCGUUAAUCGGAAUUACUGGGCGUAAAGCGUGCGCAGGCGGUUAUGUAAGACAGGUGUGAAAUCCCCGGGCUUAACCUGGGAACUGCAUUUGUGACUGCAUAGCUAGAGUACGGUAGAGGGGGAUGGAAUUCCGCGUGUAGCAGUGAAAUGCGUAGAUAUGCGGAGGAACACCGAUGGCGAACGCAAUCCCCUGGACCUGUACUGACGCUCAUGCACGAAAGCGUGGGGAGCAAACAGG